UACGUAGGUGACAAGCGUUGUCCGGAUUUACUGGGCGUAAAGAGCGCGCAGGCGGUCGAUCAAGUCGAGUGUGAAAGCCCCCGGCUCAACUGGGGAGGGUCAUUCGAUACUGAUCGACUCGAAGGCAGGAGAGGGUAGUGGAAUUCCCGGUGUAGUGGUGAAAUUCGUAGAUAUCGGGAGGAACACCAGUGGCGAAGGCGGCGACCUGGACGGACAUUGACGCUGAGACGCGAAAGCGUGGGGAGCAAACAGG
rnacentral:rRNA from 1 species